rnacentral:rRNA from 1 species
UCUCCCUACGGGAGGCAGCAGUGGGGAAUAUUGGGCAAUGGGCGCAAGCCUGACCCAGCAACGCCGCGUGAAGGAAGAAGGCUUUCGGGUUGUAAACUUCUUUUAUCAGGGACGAAGCAAGUGACGGUACCUGAUGAAUAAGCCACGGCUAACUAAGUGCCAGCAGCCGCGGUAAUACGUAGGGGGCGAGCGUUGUCCGGAAUUACUGGGCGUAAAGAGAGCGUAGGCGGCACUACAA